UACGUAGGAUGCAAGCGUUGUCCGGAUUUACUGGGCGUAAAGCGCGCGCAGGCGGCCUGGUAAGUAAGGUGUGAAAUCCAUCGGCUCAACCGGUGGGGUGCAUUUUAGACUGCCAAGCUUGAGGUCGGUAGAGGGGGGUGGAAUUGCUGGUGUAGCGGUGAAAUGCGUAGAGAUCAGCAGGAACACCCGUGGCGAAGGCGGCCCCCUGGGCCGUACCUGACGCUGAGGCGCGAAGGCUAGGGGAGCGAACGGG
rnacentral:rRNA from 1 species